CAGUAGCCACGGUAAUACGUAGGGUGCAAGCGUUAAUCGGAAUUACUGGGCGUAAAGCGUGCGCAGGCGGUUAUAUAAGACAGAUGUGAAAUCCCCGGGCUCAACCUGGGAACUGCAUUUGUGACUGUAUAGCUAGAGUACGGCAGAGGGGGAUGGAAUUCCGCGUGUAGCAGUGAAAUGCGUAGAUAUGCGGAGGAACACCGAUGGCGAAGGCAAUCCCCUGGGCCUGUACUGACGCUCAUGCACGAAAGCGUGGGGAGCAAACAGGAUUAGAUACCCGGGUAGUCCCUGUCUCUUAUAC
rnacentral:rRNA from 1 species